rnacentral:rRNA from 1 species
CCCUUAGAUGUUCUGGGCUGCACGCGCGCUACACUGAUGCGCUCAACGAGUUUAUAACCUUGUCCGGCAGGAUUGGGUAAUCUUUUUAAAACGCAUCGUGAUGGGGAUAGAUUAUUGCAAUUAUUAAUCUUCAACGAGGAAUUCCUAGUAAGCGCGAGUCAUCAGCUCGUGCUGAUUACGUCCCUGCCCUUUGUACACACCGCCCGUCGCUCCUACCGAUUGAGUGGUCCGGUGAGGCUUUGGGAUCUGAGCGGAAAGAGCGUUUCGCUGUUUCUGCUCGGAAAACUCAGUCGAACCUUAUCAUUUAGAGGAAGGAGAAGUCGUAACA